rnacentral:lncRNA from 1 species
CCUUCGAAUGGGGAUCAAACCAUUUACAACGCUUUUGAAGCCCAGCACCGUUCCCUCUGUGUUCAAGCACAAUCGCAAAGAGGAGAAGUUUCGAGGUGCUUUCAAAAAGCACCAGCGAAAGGAGAUCGUCAAUGAGGCCUUGGCGGCUUACGAAUCAUCACCUGCAGCACUUCGAAGCACCACAGCACGCUUAUGCCAGAAGCAUAUGAAAUGCUGUCACAAAGUGAACCGAA